rnacentral:rRNA from 1 species
UACGUAGGAUGCAAGCGUUAAUCGGAAUUACUGGGCGUAAAGCGUGCGCAGGCGGCUCGGAAAGAAAGAUGUGAAAUCCCAGGGCUUAACCUUGGAAUGGCAUUUUUAACUCCCGAGCUAGAGUAUGUCAGAGGGGGGUAGAAUUCCACGUGUAGCAGUGAAAUGCGUAGAGAUGUGGAGGAAUACCGAUGGCGAAGGCAGCCCCCUGGGAUAAUACUGACGCUCAGGCACGAAAGCGUGGGGAGCAAACAGG